UUUGGCCACUUGAAGGGUAACCUCAGCUAAACAUUGUAAAUGAGGAAAGCUCACAGAGGUGACUUGUGCCUCUCUCAGCUUUCAGCUCCAGUGAUACCCUUGCCUACUCAGCCAUAGUGCCUGAUGCUGUUCCUGUUUACCCCUCUGGCAGCAGUUCCCCAGUGUAACAAAUGGAGUUGUGCUGGUCUGGCACUCUCUGUUUAAAAAUGACGUAUGGUUAAGUAUUUUAAAUUUACCAAAUUGUUAAUGAUUUUCAAAGGCUUUAAUUGAGUGAUUAUAGCAGCCAUUGAUUUUGCAGGCUUCAACCUACACUAUAAUUCAGACACUCUGCAAAGGAAGUCAUGCACAAUCGGAUUUAGCCAUCAUUCACAGUGAGGCCUGCACAAUUACCAUUGCAAACAUCAGAGACAAUGUGGCAGCCUCCCUGCGAGCCUCGCUACAAGCCAGUGCUGAGUGCCAUCUGGAGAGCUGAUGCCGAAGUCAAGCAACAACAUCCUGUCAUAUUUUAUCUGGAACUUUGGAACAGAACAACUAAUAACAUCUUAAGCUUCAUUUGUCUGGCUCUCUCAUGCUCUUGGCAGAGGUCAUAAGCAAUGGUGGCUUUGCUGAUUUGCUGCAUCAAAACUAAUUAGGUUACAGUGCUCACUGGCAGAGCCUCUCAUAAUGGCAUAAAAACCUCGGGCUUUAACUUUACCCAUUAUGUCAAGCAGCAAGAAUGCCCCAGUCUGACUAGAUGGGGUUUGUAUGUCAGUGCACUAAGAAUGACUCCUGCUGCCUCUGAAGAAAGCCUGGUGGUGAAUCUGGGUGCUGCAGACUUGAGAAGCUGCUGUCAACAAACUCAAGGAGACAAGAAAGAGCCCAGGGCCCUUUGGUGACUGGCAGAUUCAGUCACUUAAAUGCUGAGCCCAAAGCUGAAGCCUGAGCAGAGUCUGUUUCACAGACUGUGAAUGCCAUUGGAAACUUUUUUCAUUUUAGCUUGUUGUUUAAAAGCAUCAGCCAUCUGAGGACAAUUCAUUUCCAGGAUUUUAUAUAACAUGCAAAGUACUGUAAGGGGAUAUUUUUAAUGUAUUUGUAGUUUGCUCUAGUAUCAUAGAGCAGGGAGAAUGUCUUAGCUUGGUUUUUUUCCAUUCCUGUAGCCUGUACUAUAGAUAUAGAUAAUACCAUUCAAGA